GACGAACCGUGCAAGCGUUAAUCGGAAUUACUGGGCGUAAAGCGUGCGCAGGUGGUUUUGUAAGUCUGUCGUGAAAGCCCCGGGCUUAACCUGGGAAUUGCGAUGGAGACUGCAAGGCUUGAAUCUGGCAGAGGGGGGUAGAAUUCCACGUGUAGCAGUGAAAUGCGUAGAGAUGUGGAGGAACACCGAUGGCGAAGGCAGCCCCCUGGGUCAAGAUUGACGCUCAUGCACGAAAGCGUGGGGAGCAAACAGG
rnacentral:rRNA from 1 species